rnacentral:lncRNA from 1 species
CUGGAUUGGGGAGCACAUUAAUAAUAUGAGAGGCUUCAGACAGAACAUAUAAACUAUGAGGAAAAGAAAAGAUGAAAUUUCAUCAAGCACCUAGACGUGCUUAAUGAAGUUCCAGGGUAACCAAGAUAUGGACCAGACUACUCAAAGCUAUUGAAUCCAGAGAAUUUGGUAGAACAAGAAUCUCUGAAUCUUCUCUCAGAUUUUUCAUCUAUGUUUCCCAUUUUUGAAGCACUCUCUUUGGUUGCUCCUUUUUCUUUUCUUCUUUUUUUUCUUCUUUUCUGCCUUACCAGGGCAUGGUGACAUUCCUUUAGUCACCAUAGUUUGAAGUUCUGUUCAGCUAAUAUUGAUUAAAGGCAAAAGAAAGAUUUAUUUUGUUUACAUGGGGCCUAAGAUUAAUGUUUUCAGUCUUUAUUGUGCUAUAUUUUAAAUUUGAUUUUUGGAUACUUAAUGUACUUCUACAUUUUAGUGAUCAGCUUUAAAAAUUGGUUUGGAAUUCAGAUAGUGCUCUUAAUUAACAAAAUUAGAGCUAUUUAGCUACUUUGAGAGUAGGCUAUAGAGUCUGCUUACACAUAUUUACUUAGCACAAAUUCUCUUCUUCAUUAAAUGAGAAUAAUGAUAUAUAAUAUCUUGUGUACACUUUCUUGAGUGCUAAAAGUGCAUUUAAAAAACCAGAAAGACAUUUUUCCUAGCUAAAAGAUGCAAUUAGAAAUAAG